rnacentral:tRNA from 1 species
GCCGAUUUAGCUCAGUCGGUAGAGCGCCAGCCUUUUAAGC